rnacentral:tRNA from 1 species
GGGGCCGUAGCUCAGUGGUUAGAGCAGGGGACUCAUAAUCCCUUGGUCGGGGGUUCGAAUCCCUCCGGCCCUA